UACGUAGGGUGCAAGCGUUAAUCGGAAUUACUGGGCGUAAAGCGUGCGCAGGCGGUGAUGUAAGACAGUUGUGAAAUCCCCGGGCUCAACCUGGGAACUGCAUCUGUGACUGCAUCGCUGGAGUACGGUAGAGGGGGAUGGAAUUCCGCGUGUAGCAGUGAAAUGCGUAGAUAUGCGGAGGAACACCGAUGGCGAAGGCAAUCCCCUGGACCUGUACUGACGCUCAUGCACGAAAGCGUGGGGAGCAAACAGG
rnacentral:rRNA from 1 species